ACUAUAUGUUCAUGAUCCGUCAACAAAUAAUGGUAUUUGAAUGAAUAAUAGUAUAGUAAGAGUGUGAUUAUAAUUUACAGUUGGGACCGUUGGUCAGAUCUAACUCCCGUCUCCUUCUUCAAUGCACCGUCCCACCUUUUUUUGUUCAUUGUUAAAAUACAAUUUCAAUUAUCUUUUAUAAACUCUGAUAAUAUAUUUGUGGUUAAAAAAACCCGUUCAAUAUUGUCUUCCCACCAAGC